rnacentral:rRNA from 1 species
UAGAGUUUGAUCAUGGCUCAGGAUGAACGCUAGCGGCAGGCUUAACACAUGCAAGUCGAGGGGCAUCGGGAGGGAAGCUUGCUUUCCUUGCCGGCGACCGGCGCACGGGUGAGUAACACGUAUGCAACCUGCCCUCUUCAGGGGGACAACCUUCCGAAAGGGAGGCUAAUCCCGCGUAUAUCGGUUUCGGGCAUCCGAGAUCGAGGAAAGAUUCAUCGGAAGAGGAUGGGCAUGCGGCGCAUUAGCUUGACGGCGGGGUAACGGCCCACCGUGGCGACGAUGCGUAGGGGUUCUGAGAGGAAGGUCCCCCACACUGGUACUGAGACACGGACCAGACUCCUACGGGAGGCAGCAGUGAGGAAUAUUGGUCAAUGGGAGAGAUCCUGAACCAGCCAAGCCGCGUGAGGGAAGACGGCCCUAUGGGUUGUAAACCUCUUUUGUCGGAGAACAAAACCCGGGACGUGUCCCGGACUGCGUGUAUCCGAAGAAAAAGCAUCGGCUAACUCCGUGCCAGCAGCCGCGGUAAUACGGAGGAUGCGAGCGUUAUCCGGAUUUAUUGGGUUUAAAGGGUGCGUAGGCGGUCCGUUAAGUCAGCGGUAAAAUUGCGGGGCUCAACCCCGUCGAGCCGUUGAAACUGGCAGACUUGAGUUGGCGAGAAGUACGCGGAAUGCGCGGUGUAGCGGUGAAAUGCAUAGAUAUCGCGCAGAACUCCGAUUGCGAAGGCAGCGUACCGGCGCCACACUGACGCUGAGGCACGAAAGCGUGGGGAUCGAACAGGAUUAGAUACCCUGG